GAGUAAUGUCUGGGAAACUGCCUGAUGGAGGGGGAUAACUACUGGAAACGGUGGCUAAUACCGCAUAACGUCGCAAGACCAAAGAGGGGGACCUUCGGGCCUCUUGCCAUCAGAUGUGCCCAGAUGGGAUUAGCUUGUUGGUGAGGUAACGGCUCACCAAGGCGACGAUCCCUAGCUGGUCUGAGAGGAUGACCAGCCACACUGGAACUGAGACACGGUCCAGACUCCUACGGGAGGCAGCAGUGGGGAAUAUUGCACAAUGGGCGCAAGCCUGAUGCAGCCAUGCCGCGUGUAUGAAGAAGGCCUUCGGGUUGUAAAGUACUUUCAGCGGGGAGGAAGGUGUUGUGGUUAAUAACCACAGCAAUUGACGUUACCCGCAGAAGAAGCACCGGCUAACUCCGUGCCAGCAGCCGCGGUAAUACGGAGGGUGCAAGCGUUAAUCGGAAUUACUGGGCGUAAAGCGCACGCAGGCGGUCUGUCAAGUCGGAUGUGAAAUCCCCGGGCUCAACCUGGGAACUGCAUUCGAAACUGGCAGGCUUGAGUCUUGUAGAGGGGGGUAGAAUUCCAGGUGUAGCGGUGAAAUGCGUAGAGAUCUGGAGGAAUACCGGUGGCGAAGGCGGCCCCCUGGACAAAGACUGACGCUCAGGUGCGAAAGCGUGGGGAGCAAACAGGAUUAGAUACCCUGGUAGUCCACGCCGUAAACGAUGUCUACUUGGAGGUUGUGCCCUUGAGGCGUGGCUUCCGGAGCUAACGCGUUAAGUAGACCGCCUGGGGAGUACGGCCGCAAGGUUAAAACUCAAAUGAAUUGACGGGGGCCCGCACAAGCGGUGGAGCAUGUGGUUUAAUUCGAUGCAACGCGAAGAACCUUACCUGGUCUUGACAUCCACAGAACUUUCCAGAGAUGGAUUGGUGCCUUCGGGAACUGUGAGACAGGUGCUGCAUGGCUGUCGUCAGCUCGUGUUGUGAAAUGUUGGGUUAAGUCCCGCAACGAGCGCAACCCUUAUCCUUUGUUGCCAGCGGUCCGGCCGGGAACUCAAAGGAGACUGCCAGUGAUAAACUGGAG
rnacentral:rRNA from 1 species